rnacentral:lncRNA from 1 species
GAAGAGUCAUCGCCAAAAUCAGAUAAGCUUAAGCUAAGUAACCUCUGCGACGCAUGGCGAUUUCCAAGCUCUUUCUUCUCUCAGUAGUCAUUCUCUCCCUCCAUCGUCCUGUUCUUUCAGACAACGGUAAUUAAACUCGAAUCUCCUCAACUUAAGGUAUCUUGAUCGUGGUUUUGACAUAGGUCUGGUCUGAAAAUCGUCGAAUCUGUUUCAUUCGAUAGAUCUUGAACAUGAAAAGCCGUCUCUAUAAAGUCGGAUUUACCUUUGUUACUAAAUUACUUGCGAUUAAGAUUUAUAAUUUGUGUGUGUCUUUGUCUUUUGAAAUCCACAGAAGAGGAAGAAUUUCUUCUCAAAACCAUCAACAUCUACAGAACCUCCAUCAACCUAACAACACUAACACAAAACGACAACGCAGAAUGUCUCGCUGACGAAAUCGCAGACGAGUUCAAGAACCGACCUUGCACAAGCAACACUGGC